UACAGAGGUCCCAAGCGUUGUUCGGAUUCAUUGGGCGUAAAGGGCGCGUAGGCGGCAAAUUAAGUCAGCUGUGAAAUCUCCGAGCUUAACUCGGAACUGUCAGCUGAUACUGAUGUGCUAGAGUGCGGAAGGGGCAAUCGGAAUUCUUGGUGUAGCGGUGAAAUUCGUAGAUAUCGGGAGGAACACCGGUGGCGAAGGCGGCGACCUGGGUAGAUACUGACGCUGAGGUGCGAAAGCGUGGGGAGCAAACAGG
rnacentral:rRNA from 1 species